rnacentral:rRNA from 1 species
UACGGAGGGUGCAAGCGUUAUCCGGAAUCACUGGGUUUAAAGGGCGCGUAGGCGGCUUAGUAAGUCAGUGGUGAAAGACUGUGGCUUAACCAUGGAAUUGCCAUUGAUACUGCUGAGCUUGAAUCAGGUUGAGGUUGGCGGAAUGUGACAUGUAGCGGUGAAAUGCUUAGAUAUGUCAUGGAACACCGAUUGCGAAGGCAGCUGACUGGACCUGUAUUGACGCUGAGGCACGAAAGCGUGGGGAGCGAACAGG